AUGGAUGAAAUGAUUCGUAGCAGGAAGAGGGAUGAAGACGUGAUUGAUCCGAACAAAAGUGACGUGAUCCUUUUAUUAAACAAAGGAGCGAUGGAAAUCAAGCAAGCAAUCGAUGUCUUUAAACUCUCCUGUGACUCAGCUGGAGACAACAGCCUGUGCAACGAGCAUCUUUGCAAUGUUUUUGUAAGGUGUGGAUUCGUGACAUUUAAAACCUGGCCUCACGACAAGCAAUUAGUCAUGCAGAGCUUUCCAACAGAUACAUUCUAACUCAAUUGCCCGUCAAAACCCUAUCAAUCUGUGAGCUGUUAAAACGUACAUUUGGCCAGUGAGGAUGUUGAUCAAGUGUUUUGCAGUUUGCAGGUUGUCAUUAAUACAUCAGACAGCAUGAAUUAACCAGCAAACCCAGCAGUGGCUGGCCUGUGCCGCUCGUGGAACAGCUGGGACUAGAGCCAUGAAUCAUGUCAACCGUUCGGGCUUAUGAAAAGAGCUCUGCGUCUGUGUGCGCCGCUCAGACAGACAGAGAGAGCAGAGCGGGCGUACUAAAUCAUGCAGCUCAUCACUCCCAAUGCAUUUGCCCAGCAAGACACAUUCUGGAUUUAUGGGGUACCAAUGCUACUGGUCACCGAUCUGAAUACACUGUUUAUCCAUUUUCACACUGACCGGGGCUGCCUUGUGCUAACCCAUUUCAUGAUGUUUAACCUCAAUAGCAGGCUUUUGAGAAUGAGGAGCUUUGGGAGAGAGGCUAUGGGCAAAGGUCAGUGGAAGAGGAUUGUGGCUUUGCAAUGAUUCGUCUGGUGUUCAUGUUCACAAACAAAAAAUGACAAUUACUUCCAUAAUCUGAUACAUUUUUUAAAUAAACAUUUUUUUUUUAUCAGCCCCCCCCCCCCCCC
rnacentral:lncRNA from 1 species